GCAAGUCGAGCGGUAAGGCUUUCACAGAUUAUUUAAACGGUUAAGUCCCUAGGGAUACUAACAAGACAACACAUACUCACUAGGCUAGUGAACAGUGGUUGAAUAAUGUGUGAAAAGUACACGAGCGGCGGACGGCUGAGUAACGCGUAGGAACGUACCCCAAAGUGAGGGAUAAGCACCGGAAACGGUGUCUAAUACCGCAUGUGAUCUAAGGAUUAAAGCCUUCGGGCGCUUUGGGAGCGGCCUGCGUAUGAUUAGUUUGUUGGUGAGGUAAUGGCUCACCAAGACUACGAUCAUUAGCUGGUCUGAGAGGAUGAUCAGCCAGACUGGGACUGAGACACGGCCCAGACUCCUACGGGAGGCAGCAGUAGGGAAUUUUCCACAAUGGGCGAAAGCCUGAUGGAGCAACACCGCGUGCAGGAUGAAGGCCCUAGGGUCGUAAACUGCUUUUAUGAGUGAUAAUUAUGAUAGUAGCUCAAGAAUAAGGGUCGGCUAACUACGUG
rnacentral:rRNA from 1 species